UACGUAGGGGGCUAGCGUUGUCCGGAUUUAUUGGGCGUAAAGAGCGUGUAGGCGGCCAGGUAGGUCCGUUGUGAAAACUCGAGGCUCAACCUCGAGACGUCGGCGGAAACCCUCUGGCUAGAGUCCGGAAGAGGAGAGUGGAAUUCCUGGUGUAGCGGUGAAAUGCGCAGAUAUCAGGAAGAACACCCGGGGCGAAGGCGGCUCUCUGGGACGGUACGGACGCUGAGACGCGAAAGCGUGGGGAGCGAACAGG
rnacentral:rRNA from 1 species